GUUUUCCUGGGCUGGAGAGAUGGCUCAGUGGUUAAGAGCACUGACUGCUCUUCCAGAGGUCUUGAUGAAUCCAAUUCCCAGCAACCACAUGGUGGCUCACAACCAUCUAUAAUGAGAUCUGAUGAUCUCUCCUGGUGUGUCUGAAGACAGCUACAGUGUACUUAUAUAUAAUAAGUACUUCUUAGGAGAAUCAGGGAGAAAGAUCCACAUAAAACCUAAGAAGAGCCAGAACAGUUUUAGAAAAUCUGGAGUUUAUGUGUCUUCUCGGGUAGACCCAAUUCUUGAAGUAUGGGAAGAAAAUACAUCUGCAACGGUAAUCCCCACUGAUGUGAGAAGUAACCUAUUUCCUUUUGUGAAGGGGAGUGAUGGGUGUUUGUGCCUAUGCCUUCCUAGUGCAAGUAGUGAACGAGUAGAGAAAGAUCAGCCUUGAGCAUUCCCUUCACACUCUCCAUAUCCUCACUCCUUGCCAGUCACUGCAUUAGGCAGUGCUUCUCAACCUUCCUAAUGCUGUGACCUUUAAUACAGUUCCUCAUGCUGUGGUGAUUCCCAACCAUACAACUGUUUUGUUGCUAC
rnacentral:lncRNA from 1 species